GACGAACCGUGCGCACGUUGUUCGGAAUCACUGGGCUUAAAGGGCGCGUAGGCGGUUCAUCAAGUCCGGGGUGAAAUCUUUCGGCUCAACCGGAAAAGUGCCUUGGAUACUGGUGAACUGGAGGGAGGUAGGGGCAGAUGGAACUUCCGGUGGAGCGGUGAAAUGCGUUGAUAUCGGAAGGAACGCCGGUGGCGAAAGCGAUCUGCUGGCCCUCUUCUGACGCUGAGGCGCGAAAGCUAGGGGAGCAAACGGG
rnacentral:rRNA from 1 species